rnacentral:lncRNA from 1 species
GUCCCUCCUAGUAAUACAGACUACUCCCUGCUAAAAAAUCAUCACGGUUGCAACUCUAAAUAGGCAAAAUCCAAUUCAAAAGAAUUGAGAAACAAUUUGCCUGAUAGACAAAUUGUUUGCAUAUAGAAUGGCAAAGUUAAACCAAAAACUAAAGAGAGAAAAUAGAAAGAGAUUAAUGUUGUAUAUAUAUUACACACCAAAGGUCAUUUCAAUUAUUUUUCACACAGUUAUAAAAGUUGUGUUGAGUUGCAGCUACUACCAUAAAUAAUCGACACAUAACUUGCAAAAGAUUAAAGAACCAAACUCAUAACUCCGGUUACACUUGUUUUUAUAAUCUGAACAUGGUUAUAGCUCCAUUCUUAUUGAUGCUGUCUCUUUGUUUGAUCCAUUGCAAGCUACACGUAGAUGUCAUCUUCAGUCACUUGAAAUUAAAAGGUACAAUGAAUACCAAUUGUUGAACUAUGCCAAGCGCAUCUCAGCAAAUAGUCAAAUACAUAUACAAAAGUUCAAAAUAUUUAACUCUCUACAUGGUCCAAAACCAAAAGCUUUAGAGGUAUAAUGUCUUAUUUGCUGCAGCCUGCAGUCCUACGAUUUUCUUGAAUUCAUGAUUAAUAAUGUUCUUGUUAAGAAUUCAAAGUUA